rnacentral:rRNA from 1 species
AACGAACGCUGGCGGCAUGCCUAACACAUGCAAGUCGAACGUAGGCUUCGGCCUUAGUGGCGCACGGGUGCGUAACGCGUGGGAAUCUGCCCUUGGGUUCGGAAUAACUCAGAGAAAUUUGAGCUAAUACCGGAUGAUGACGAAAGUCCAAAGAUUUAUCGCCCAAGGAUGAGCCCGCGUAGGAUUAGCUAGUUGGUGAGGUAAAGGCUCACCAAGGCGACGAUCCUUAGCUGGUCUGAGAGGAUGAUCAGCCACACUGGGACUGAGACACGGCCCAGACUCCUACGGGAGGCAGCAGUGGGGAAUAUUGGACAAUGGGCGAAAGCCUGAUCCAGCAAUGCCGCGUGAGUGAUGAAGGCCUUAGGGUUGUAAAGCUCUUUUACCCGGGAUGAUAAUGACAGUACCGGGAGAAUAAGCUCCGGCUAACUUCGUGCCAGCAGCCGCCGUAA